GAGUUUGAUCGUGGCUCAGGAUGAACGCUGGCGGCGUGCCUAAUACAUGCAAGUCGUACGAACAGCGGAAAGUGCUUGCACUUUCCAAGUAAGUGGCGAACGGGUGAGUAGCACGUGAAUAACCUACCUCAAAGUCUGGGAUAACCAUUGGAAACAGUGACUAAUACCGGAUAAAACCUAGUAGCACAUGCUACAAGGUUAAAAGCUGCGUUUGCAGCGCUUUAAGAUGGAUUCGCGGUGCAUUAGUUAGUUGGUGAGGUAAAGGCUC
rnacentral:rRNA from 1 species